AACGAACGCUGGCGGCAGGCUUAACACAUGCAAGUCGAGCGCCCCGCAAGGGGAGCGGCAGACGGGUGAGUAACGCGUGGGAAUCUACCGAGCCCUAAGGAAUAACUCCGGGAAACUGGAACUAAUACCUUAUACGCCCUACGGGGGAAAGAUUUAUCGGGGUUUGAUGAGCCCGCGUUGGAUUAGCUAGUUGGUGGGGUAAAGGCCUACCAAGGCGACGAUCCAUAGCUGGUCUGAGAGGAUGAUCAGCCACAUUGGGACUGAGACACGGCCCAAACUCCUACGGGAGGCAGCAGUGGGGAAUAUUGGACAAUGGGCGCAAGCCUGAUCCAGCCAUGCCGCGUGAGUGAAGAAGGUCUUAGGAUUGUAAAGCUCUUUCACCGGAGAAGAUAAUGACGGUAUCCGGAGAAGAAGCCCCGGCUAACUUCGUGCCAGCCGCCGCCGUAACAC
rnacentral:rRNA from 1 species